rnacentral:misc_RNA from 1 species
AAUUUCUUCUGGGAUCACCCCAUUUUCAUGAAUAUUAUGUCUCCCCAUUCUUUCCCGUUGAUACAAGCACAUGGUAAAAGCAGAUACGCUAUGGAAAUUGUAGGACUCUGCGUUGGAAAUUAAUUGAACUUCUUGAACCACAGACGCCAUGAGAGAAUCAUGGAUAACUAUAACUUUUCUUGCUUUGCUCGAAAGUGAACGCAGGAGCACAGACACAGGCUCUCGAAGAUGAGA